ACGCUGAUUUCUAUUAUAAAAAAAAUCCGCGGAAUAAUACAGGAAUUUGAUGGAUCGCCAAAUAGUCUACAAGAAUUUUUAAGUGCGACUACAUACAUAGUAGAACACAUUUAUUCAUUAUACGAAGUGACUUUAUUAGGAGUUGUCCUAUGUACGAAGUUAAAAGGCAGAGCGAUGCUAAAUUUUCAAACGUGAAAAUUUUGAGCCUUCGCACAAUUAAAAUAAGAACUCGAAGUCUGUUAUGUGAAUAAGAGCACGACUCAUUUAUAACGAAUUCGAUUGGAAGCACUAGUGCGCACUGAGUGCGUACUCUUUCAAUAUUUAGUAUUCGGUUGGCUUACCUUGUACUGGUUCAAAAUUUUAUGUGUAUUCGGUUGAUAGUGCACUAAAAACAUGUGCUAGUGAAAAUGUGUUCUGAACUGUGUGACUGAACUGCAUUGUCCCAAUGCAGUGUUAUUUGUACGUUCGGUUGAAAUACAUUGCACUAGUGCAGAAGGCACUGAAUGGCACUGAGAUUUUCGACAGUGCAGUUCAGUGCAAAUUUGAGUAUUCCAAUGAAAAAAUAUGGCAGCUAAAAUUAUUAUUAGAUGAACAGUUAAAUAGUUCGAGCAGUUCUAACGAUGAAGAAAAAAUGGCAGUAUUAAAGCGACAUGAAACACAAAUGCGGAAAGUUUGGAAUAUGAUAAAUAUUAUAAAUAAAUAUUCUGAUAAAGAAUUUCAGCGACAUUUUCGUUUAAAACGAAGUACAUUUGAUAAAUUACAUGAUAUGUACGCAAACUCCGAAAUUUUUCAUGCAGUACAAGGACAUGAUGGACGCAAUGUUAUAAAUAGUGAUACACAAUUAUUUUCAUUUUUAUGGUUUGCAGAAAAUAAAUCAAUGAUACGAGAUGUUGCAUCCAGAUUUAAUGUAGCAGAAUCUAUGUUUCAUGCUAUCAUAAUAAAUGUAAUGGAAUUUUUAUAACAUAUUGAUCCAAAUAUAAUAAAAAUGUCUGAUACAGACGACAGAAAAAGAGAGGUGCUCGCAAGUUUCAAGAAAUAAGUGGAUUUCCUGGAGUUAUUGGAUGUAUUGAUGGAACGUAUAUUAAAAUUAAAACUCCUGUUAAUAAAAUCAAAAGCACUUAUGUUAAUAGACAUUAUUACACAUCUCUGAUAUUACAAGCUGUUUGUGAUG